UAUGGCCAAAUCAUGUUGAAACAUUGGUUCCCAUAUGAUCACUGAAGUUGAGCAACAUUGUGUCUGUUAAGUACCUAGAUGAGUGACUGCUUGGGAACACCAGGUGCUGUAAG